ACCCUCCAGUUUCCUUACACCUCAGAUUUAAAUAUUAGUCUGAGUGACUAAAGAAAUGAGGAAGAGCAAAAUUGAAAUUGAUUUGCAGUCUUUAGUGACACAUAAGUUAAUUUCAAACAUAA
rnacentral:snoRNA from 1 species